rnacentral:rRNA from 1 species
ACGAACGCUGGCGGCGUGCCUAAUACAUGCAAGUUGAGCGCUGAAGGUUGGUACUUGUACCGACUGGAUGAGCAGCGAACGGGUGAGUAACGCGUGGGGAAUCUGCCUUUGAGCGGGGGACAACAUUUGGAAACGAAUGCUAAUACCGCAUAAAAACUUUAAACACAAGUUUUAAGUUUGAAAGAUGCAAUUGCAUCACUCAAAGAUGAUCCCGCGUUGUAUUAGCUAGUUGGUGAGGUAAAGGCUCACCAAGGCGAUGAUACAUAGCCGACCUGAGAGGGUGAUCGGCCACAUUGGGAAUGGGACACGGCCCAAACUCCUACGGGAGGCAGCAGUAGGGAAUCUUCGGCAAUGGACGAAAGUCUGACCGAGCAACGCCGCGUGAGUGAAGAAGGGUUUCGGAUCGUAAAACUCUGUUGGUAGAGAAGAACGUUGGUGAGAGUGGAAAGCUCAUCAAGUGACGGUAACUACCCAGAAAGGGACGGCUAACUACGUG